rnacentral:miRNA from 1 species
UAAUCUGCAUCCUGGGGUUUG